UACGUAGGGUCCGAGCGUUGUCCGGAAUUAUUGGGCGUAAAGAGCUCGUAGGCGGUGUGUCACGUCGGCCGUGAAAACCUGCAGCUUAACUGUGGGCGUGCGGUCGAUACGGGCAUCACUGGAGUUCGGCAGGGGAGACUGGAAUUCCUGGUGUAGCGGUGAAAUGCGCAGAUAUCGGGAAGAACACCCGUGGCGAAGGCGGCUCUCUGGGACGGUACUGACGCUGAGACGCGAAAGCGUGGGGAGCGAACAGG
rnacentral:rRNA from 1 species